GAAACUUGCAUUAAAGGUGCUAUAUACAACAUUCAGAACAUUAAUAUAGCAUCAAACAACUGUUUGCUAUUGGGGAUACAGUGGAGUAAUGGUGUCCUGACCAGAAAACAAAGUCACACUCCCUGUGUGUCUUGUAAUCCCAGUUUCUCUGUUCAUUUCAGUCUGAGUGCUGUGUGGA